CAUCGCCGUAGACGGUGGCAGGGCCGGCGUUGGGAUCGUCGGUGAGGUCGGUGAUGAGGCCGGCGGCGGGUUCGACGUCGCCGGUGUUGCC
rnacentral:tRNA from 1 species